rnacentral:rRNA from 1 species
AUUGAACGCUGGCGGCAGGCCUAACACAUGCAAGUCGAGCGGUAACAUAGAGGAGCUUGCUCCUUGGGUGACGAGCGGCGGACGGGUGAGUAAUGCCUGGGGAUCUGCCCGAUAGAGGGGGAUAACUACGGGAAACUGUAGCUAAUACCGCAUAACGUCUACGGACCAAAGUGGGGGCUCUUCGGACCUCAUGCUAUCGGAUGAACCCAGGUGGGAUUGGCUAGUUGGUGAGGUAAUGGCUCACCAAGGCGACGAUCUCUAACUGGUUGGAGAGAAUGACCAGUCACACUGGAACUGAGACACGGUCCAGACUCCUACGGGAGGCAGCAGUGGGGAAUAUUGCACAAUGGGCGCAAGCCUGAUGCAGCCAUGCCGCGUGUGUGAAGAAGGC